GACGAACGCUGGCGGCGUGCUUAACACAUGCAAGUCGAACGGUGAAGCAGAGCUUGCUCUGUGGAUCAGUGGCGAACGGGUGAGUAACACGUGAGUAACCUGCCCUUGACUCUGGGAUAAGCGUUGGAAACGACGUCUAAUACCGGAUACGAGCUGAGCCCGCAUGGUCAUCAGUUGGAAAGAUUUGUUGGUCAAGGAUGGACUCGCGGCCUAUCAGCUUGUUGGUGAGGUAAUGGCUCACCAAGGCGACGACGGGUAGCCGGCCUGAGAGGGUGACCGGCCACACUGGGACUGAGACACGGCCCAGACUCCUACGGGAGGCAGCAGUGGGGAAUAUUGCACAAUGGGCGCAAGCCUGAUGCAGCAACGCCGCGUGAGGGAUGACGGCCUUCGGGUUGUAAACCUCUUUUAGUAGGGAAGAAGCGAAAGUGACGGUACCUGCAGAAAAAGCACCGGCUAACUACGUG
rnacentral:rRNA from 1 species